rnacentral:tRNA from 1 species
GCCUGGGUGGCUCAGUCGGUUGAGUGUCCGACUUCAGCUCAGGUCAUGAUCUCACAGCUCGUGGGUUCGAGCCCUGCAUCGGGCU